GGAGGGAGCCAGUGCGCCUGGAUCCUGCAGAGUCCUCUUCGCCCUCCGCUCACGUGUGCUGUAAUUGUAGUCCUUGCCAGUAGCGACCGCCCUGGUUGGCGAGCUCCUGGCGCUGUUCACCCGUUAUCUCUGCAGCUGGCCCGGGAGAUCGUAGUCUCCGGCCGAGGGGCGUCGCCGCCCGCAAACGCAGCAGCAGCAGCAGGAGAAGCUGUGAAAGCAGAGGCGGCCGGCGCGCUCGGCAGCUCAAGGUGACUUCUGCCGCACCCGAGCUGGCUGUUUCAGAUAAAUGUAUCCAAUAUGGACCAUCCCUUGGACUGUUUUGGGCUUCUCCUGUGGUUGCUGAUGUUGGUUUAUUUGCCACUGCAAAACGUCCAUGGAUUUUUCCCCAACAUCUGGUAUCGGGGCGUCAGCUUCUCCUGGGGAUCUAUCACCCACCAGGACAUGACUGAAGAUGCAAUUCUGAACAUCACUGUUCGCCUCUUUUCGGAGAUAACUCACCCUACCAAGAGGAAACACAUCCAAGAAGAGGACUUUAAGGGCAAGACCCUAUUGGCUGAUGACAUCUUUGCCGCUUUCUAUGGUCCUGAGGUGUCAGCCAAGCGUUUCCGUGGAGCCAUUGCAGAAGUAGCCAAUGCCAAUGCUGCCAUGGACUUUGGGAAUACGACUCGGGAUGACCCCGUUUUCCACUUUGAUUCAGAGCUCAUUCACUCUGCCAACAGCUGGCUGUUGCAUGUUCGUAAAGAGAUCCUCCAGGCUGUGCAUUCUGAGCAAUAUGGCAUUGCCCGAAAAAAGCUGGGACAGCUGCUCCACUCCUUGCAGGAUUUCUACAGCCACAGUAACUGGGUAGAACUGGGAAAUGAAAGAAUACUUCUGCAUUUGGUUCAGCCGGGCCACGAAAUUCCCCCUGUCGCUGAAGCUGGCAUCCAGACUUGCCACGACUGCUCUGAAUGGACUUGCAAAGAAAAUCUCCUGGACAAUCUUGCUGUUCUCACCACGGGUUACUAUGGUUCCCAUCCCGAAAAGCCUAUUGGGAAGUGCAGUCAUGGUGGGAGGUUUGAUGAGAGUCGCCAUCAAGAACCUCGAGGUGGCAUUAAUAAGGACAGUGCCUCCUCGUUCUUCUCACCUCACCAUUACCUGCACCAGAAGGCAGCUCUGCUGGCCCAAGAAGCCUCCAUACACUUCCUGGAGAAGUUGUGGCGAGAAAUAGGGAGCAGGGAAUUUAUGAGGUUGCUAGAUAUCAGCCCAACCGCAGGCCUGAGCUUUGUUAUGGAUACCACGGGAAGUAUGGGGGAAGAGAUCAGCGCUGCUAAGUUUCAGGCACGGGAGAUCAUCGAACGGCGUCAAGGCACCCCUCAACAGCCAGAUUUUUACCUCUUGGUGCCUUUCCACGAUCCCAGUUUUGGACCAGUCAGUAAGACCAGUGACCCUGAAGAAUUCUGGAAAGUCUUAGACACCAUCAGCCCAUUGGGUGGUGGAGAUGAGCCUGAAAUGUGUCUGUCAGCCUUGGAGCUUGCCCUGCAGAAUUCACCACCCUAUUCUGAGAUCUUUGUCUUUACCGAUGCAUCUGCUAAAGAUGCUCAUCUGAAGAACAGUGUGGAAUCCCUUAUUCAGGAAAAGAAGUGCAAGGUAACCUUCCUAAUCACAGAAGACCCAUCCAAGACUCGAACGAAGCGGGAAACACUUGCCCCAAACCGAUUCGACUUGUACGUUCACUUAGCUGAGAGUUCAGGAGGCCAGAUUAUAUUUACAGACAACGAUAACAUCCGGCGGAUGGCUGAGAUUAUUGGCGAAUCCAGCUUAUCUUCGGUGACUCUCUUUCGUUACCAGAAAGGAAACGUCUUGAGAUCUAAAGGGACUCAACGCAGGACAAAGAAGCAGGCUCCCCAGUUGGUAAAGCACCAGUUCUGGAUUGACAGUUUGGUGGACCAUGUGGUUGUGACCAUCCAAGGCUCUGUGGAAUUCUUUGAAAUAAGGGACCCUACAGAUAGAUUCCAAACUGAUGCGACAAUUCAUGGUCCCCUAGCAAAGAUCCAGUCCAUUGGUGGAAUUUAUAGAGCAUUCCUUUCUGCUCCUGUCCAUCCUGGUGAAUGGACUUUGAAACUUCAAUCCAAAAGGCAUUAUUCAGUUUACAUUCAAGGUCAGAGCACCCUCGAUUUCUUGUAUUAUUUUGCUGUUCCUGCUGAUGGACGUCACCCAGGGUUAUUCAGGCUGGAUAGUCCUCCUGUUGAAGGUUUGCCUACCUACCUGGUUAUAAUGGCAAUUGGUCUGAAUCAGAUUAAGUCAGGCUCUGUUCAGCUACAAUCGGUGAACUUAGAAGCAAGAACAGGCAGCCUUGGGGAGUUAAAAUUACAGAGAGGAGCCAAUCGAACGGACUUGUUUAUGGCCGAGCUGCCUCCAACUCUAUCAACCGCCAACAGCUUUUCUAUAGUGGUCCAUGGAGUGGAUGGUGAGGGCCAGAAGUUGGAGAGAUCUGCUCCUCAAGUUGCAACUGUCACAGAAUCCCUCCUAGAGCUGAGCAGAGAGACUCCUGUAUUCCCAGGAAAACAUGUUUCCAUCUCUUGGAAAAUCACAAAUCCUGGUGCACCUAAAAGUUAUGGACUGAAAGUGAUCACCCUUCCUCGGAUUCCAGCUGACAUCUCUAAUGCCAGACUGCAAUUAGACUUCAACCAAACAGGGACGGGACAGAUAUUCCUAAAUAUUCCUGAUACUACUCUACCUGGAUCAUUGAUUACAAUAACCUUGCAGGCCAACUCUCUCAACCCAUCUGCAGAGCCUGAUUUUGCCCAUAUCGAUCUUCUGGUGAUGCCUCAGCCUCAGGUGGAAACCACCUCACCCCCUGUAUGCAAUGUCACUUCUUCAGAGAAUUCCUGUGGUCCACCACAGUCCCCCUGUCGCAACCAACAUUGGGCAGUCACCUUGCAAAUCUGGGACAAAGCUGGUAUUCACUCGGUGCAGGUGGAAAAUGGUCCAGUGCUUCCCCACCAAGCCCAUGGGUCGGUGGAAAUAGUCACUUACACCUCAAAUUGUUGCUCACGGCAGGCAGAGCUAGUGAUCACCAACCUUCUUGGGGAGAAAUAUCCAUGUCAAGUUGAAGUAAUGCCACCUGUCCUUCCUGGCAAAACAGUAACCACACCUCCAGAGGAUUUUAGGGUGGUGGCAGAUGCUCCUGAUGCUGCUGAUAGAGCUGUUGCUCCUUCUGCCAAAAUCUGGUGGUGGAGCUCAACCAUCUUAAUGGCCAUUGUGUGGCUGGCACCAUAAGGCCGCCAUUUAUUACGUAUGGGAGAAGUUUCCAGCUGCCCUCUGCUGGAAAAUGAUGGUAUUUACCUUAUUAGAGAAUAAAGUUAAAAAGAGGAUCUGCUGAGCAGGAGCGCAAUAACUAACAUUCUAUGAGGGAAGGAAGGAAGGGAAAGGAAAGGAAAGGAAAGGAAAGGAAAGGAAAGGAAAGGAAAGGAAAGGAAAGGAAAGGAAGGAGCCCUCAAAAGACCAUUGUUAGGAUGUGACAUUGGGAGUUUACUCAGUGUGAAGGAAAAGUCACUAAAAUCCUGUAACCUGAUUGGAAGAGCUGAGUUAGAGAGAGAACAAGAAUCUUUUUUUAAAAUGGGGUAGAGCAUCCAUUAACACAACCUUGUAGUGAAGCUGGCUUUUGACCAGAUACCAGGACUCUUAAUCUAUCGGGUGGUAUUUUUUAAUACGAGUUUGCUCUCUAGUAUGAGAUGAGCUCCUUGAAAAAAAUUUUAACUGGACAUGGUAGGAUAGUUGUUCCGAUCUGUAUGCACAGGAUGGGCUAUGGGUUAUGAUUUCCCAAGAGGGAUUGUUCAAAGGCCCAUGUGGGGCCUGAACCCACAGUCUUGCUGCUAGUAAACAUAUGCUUUGAUGGACAGUUUUGGGGUUGCUAAUCCCACGGACUGACAUUGCUGACCCGCAUUUCUUGCACCAUUCCACAUCCAGGCACUCUGCAUGGUGUCUGCUGCAGUUCUCUCAGCUUCUUCAAAUGUUUCUGGACUUCACUGCAGGAGUUUACUCCUUUCUGAUCAUAGGCACAUGCUGCCAAUUGCACCUCGUUGCUCUUAACUCCCUAGAAAUGGGAUUGAUUUUGUUUUGGAGCAGCUUCUGCUAAAACAGCCUUCCCCAACCUGGUCUCUUUGAGAUUUUGUUGGAAGUCCAAGAUCCCCCCUGAGCGGGAAAGAAAUAUAACUGAAAGGCACAAGGGAAAAUUUGGGGAAAUUUGAAAUGAAGGCUCACGGAAGUUCAACCACAGUAUGCUCUGGAAAGCUGGCGGAUAUUUCCUUGUGGUACACACCAUUCCUAAAUGCAGAUACAUCUCAGUUUUACUCCACAAUAAUUGUGCUAUUGAUGUAGACAUGAUUACAGGACUGAAGACAUUUGCCAGUAAAUAAAUGAAUAAAUUUGAAGGGAAGAGAGGAACAUAACAUGGUGAUGGAUCAUGCCUAGGACUAUUCAGGAGUGAGGCCUUUGAACUAUGGUGCUGGAAAAGACUUCUGCGAGUCCCCUGGACUGCAAGGCAUUCAAACCGGUCGGAUCUCUCUUUGAUAAGCUUCCAUCUGUUACAGAAGAGACUCAAUCUCAUAACUUCUACCAAUUAGUUGCACCAAUUACAACAAAAAGGUUGUUUCCCCCUAUUCAUACCCAGAAGCAGAUUCGCAGCAUUUUGGCUCUUUGGAAGAAGCGCAGUUGGUUGAACUGCUCAUUUGAACCUCUGGUAUUUUUAUUUUAAAAUAAAAUUCUACAGCAUGGUAAAAA